rnacentral:sRNA from 1 species
GUCUGUCCCGCAGCAUUGUCCGCUCACGGGCACAUAGCACCGCAGUUGGCAUCUUUUCCGUCCUGCUAGUGUUUACUUCUGCCAUUGCCAACAUGGUAAGGGUCCAGUGGGAAUUCUCCCACCUCUGCUCUGUGCCAAGCACUGUCCUGGACUCUGGGGGUACAGAGGAGAAAAGGACAUAUUUUCUGCCCUCAGGGAGCCCCCUCCCAGAAUAGGGGAAGGUUAACUCCAGUUCUCCUUCCUUGUUCUCCCAACCUCCUGUCAUCCCUGAGUGAGUACUAAGGCCCAUGGGGUAUAAGGUACCUGGGCAUAGCCCAGGUUAGGGUACAUGGCUUCACCAGGUACCUUGCAACCCUUUCCCUCCUUGGCUACCCUGAUAUACCCCUCCACUUUUGCAGUUCACCUGUAACUACACCCCCAUACGGACAUGUGCAGCCCGGAUGCUGAAUUUAACACCUGCUGACAUCACUGCCUGCCACCUGCAGCAGCUCAAUUACUCUCUGGGCCUGGAUGCUCCCCUGUGUGAGGGCACCAUGCCCACCUGCAGCUUCCCUGAGUACUUCAUCGGGAACAUGCUGCUGAGUCUCUUGGCCAGCUCUGUCUUCCUGCACAUCAGCAGCAUCGGGAAGUUGGCCAUGAUCUUUGUCUUGGGGCUCAUCUAUUUGGUGCUGCUUCUGCUGGGUCCCCCAGCCACCAUCUUUGACAACUAUGACCUACUGCUUGGCGUCCAUGGCUUGGCUUCUUCCAAUGAGACCUUUGAUGGGCUGGACUGUCCAGCUGCAGGGAGGGUGGCCCUCAAAUAUAUGACCCCUGUGAUUCUGCUGGUGUUUGCUCUGGCGCUGUAUCUGCAUGCUCAGCAGGUGGAGUCGACUGCCCGCCUAGACUUCCUCUGGAAACUACAGGCAACAGGGGAGAAGGAGGAGAUGGAGGAGCUACAGGCAUACAACCGGAGGCUGCUGCAUAACAUUCUGCCCAAGGACGUGGCGGCCCAUUUCCUGGCCCGGGAGCGCCGCAAUGAUGAACUCUACUAUCAGUCGUGUGAGUGUGUGGCGGUUAUGUUUGCCUCCAUUGCCAACUUCUCUGAGUUCUAUGUGGAGCUGGAGGCAAACAAUGAGGGUGUCGAGUGCCUGCGGCUGCUCAACGAGAUCAUCGCUGACUUUGAUGAGGUACUUUUCCAGUUGGCUGGUGGUGGCAGAGAAUGGGGGGUACUUGGAGACCUGGGAUUGGAAGGGGUGAGUGGAACUGGGAAGAGAAAGAGAGAUUUGAUGGGACCCAGAGGCAUCAGGGGUAAGGGUAGGCACAGUGGAGGCAGAGGCAAGAACCCAUGAAGGUGUCAGAGGCAGCAAGGGGGUCAGCCCUAGUGGGGCAGGGUCAUCACUGUUGGGGAGCAGGGGAGGACUUGAUCUGUAGGGGGAUAGGAUAGGUACCAGGUGGAUGUCACUGAAGAAGAAGGCAAUAGUCUGUGGACAGAACCUCAUGAGACCAACCAAGCAAGAUGGUCCUCUGAAUAGAGAAAAUUGAAGCAAAAUGUGAGGUAGUGUCCUGAACAUCCAGAUCAGGAAUGGGCUGUUCACUGUUCUGGAGGGAAGUCACUUGCUCACCCUGGGACUCAGUAUCCCAAAAGGUAAGGAUUGGAGAAAUCGCUUAAUAUCGCACCUGUGGGUCUGUGUUCUGUGAGUGAGCUACUAGAGGGACCUUCUGAAGCUGUAUGCCCAAGUCCUGCCUGGAGUCCUAGGCUGCCUGUUUUCCCAGCUCCUCAGUCUUACACUGAUAGCAGCAGCUGGAAGGGGGCUCUUGAGACAGGGAAGUGGGGAAGGCAGCCAAGGUGUGGCAAGAAAUGAGUGUUGGGGCAGGGCUGGGUCUGGGGUCUUUGCCUUGACAGCCAGGGCCCCUUGUGUUGUUCAGAUUAUCAGCGAGGAGCGGUUCCGGCAGCUGGAAAAGAUCAAGACGAUUGGUAGCACCUACAUGGCUGCCUCAGGGCUGAACGCCAGCACCUACGAUCAGGUGGGCCGCUCCCAUAUCACUGCCCUGGCUGACUACGCCAUGCGGCUCAUGGAGCAGAUGAAGCACAUCAAUGAGCACUCCUUCAACAAUUUCCAGAUGAAGAUUGGGCUGAACAUGGGCCCAGUCGUGGCAGGUGUCAUCGGGGCUCGGAAGCCACAGUAUGACAUCUGGGGGAACACAGUGAAUGUCUCUAGUCGUAUGGACAGCACGGGGGUCCCCGACCGAAUCCAGGUGACCACGGACCUGUACCAGGUUCUAGCUGCCAAGGGCUACCAGCUGGAGUGUCGAGGGCUGGUCAAGGUGAAGGGCAAGGGGGAGAUGACCACCUACUUCCUCAAUGGGGGCCCCAGCAGUUAGCAGGGCCCAGCCACAAAUUCAGCUGAAGGGACCAAGGUGGGCAUUGAGUGGACUCUGUGCUCACUGGGUGGAGCUGUGGCAGGGGGCACUGAGCCUCCAGACCCUGCUAACCACAAAAGGGAACAUCCCAGCAGGCUGUGCUUGGAUCAUGCUCGUCUGCCCUCAAGCUGGAAAACAAGGGGCUACCUACCAAGAGGAUUAUGCAAGUGACUUUCUUUCUUACUUGGGGUAGGGCUGUUCCCUCUCCAAUCUUCCAGCCGUUAGGAGCAGGGGAGGGGUCAGUAGCAGAAGCAGAGGGAGGCCUCUUGCCUGAGGGAUUAAAAUGGCAGCUUGCCAUGCCUACCCUUCCCUGUCUGUCUGGGCAGCAGGUUCAGGGCUGAGCCCUUCUUUUCCCUCUUUUUUCCUGGGAAUAUUUUGUACAAUAUUUUGUACAAAGACAGGCAUGAGGAGUGCCUAUUCCAUGCUUGCCUUUGCAAUACCUGCAUCCCCAGCACUGGUCCUGGGCACUUCCCCACCCCGGCCAGGUGUCCCUCCUACGCACAGGGCAGAGGAGGGGGAAGCUCUGGGGAGCCAGCUUUGGCCAUAUUUCAGGAGAAUGUUUCCAUGUGCCAAAUCCUAGUCCCAUGAUCUGUCCCCAAAGGGGAACAAAGGGACCUCUGACAGCUUAGAUUUAGCCCCAGUUCCUGCAUGCUCCAGGGAACGGGGUGUCUGGUCUCACUGGUACUGUGAAAAAUGCUCAGAGAGCAAGCCUGUGUGUGGGGAUGUCAGGUCAGGAGCUGGAAGUUCACCUGCAGGUGCCAAAGAGCAGGCCGGCCAGGGCUGGGGCAGUGCCAGACUCUGAUCUGAGGACCCCGUCGGGGUCCGGAUCAGGUCACUCUGCCCCAGUGCUCUCUUGCUGUCUGCUGGCAAGGGGGCGUGGAGCAUCUCUUCCUCUUCUGUUGCCAAAUAGAAAAGGGUCAGGGCGUGGAGAAAGAUGACCCUGAUCCCAAACCUGCCCUCCCAAGUCUCUGGUGUUGGGGAGGGCCUGUGUGUUUGUGUAACCGUGUGUGCAUGUUGGUCUUUGUGUGCAUAUCUGUUUUCCAGGUCAGUGUGAGUCCUUGUGCUCCUGCUCCUCAGCUCUCCACCCCAGGUUGCCUCUCUCCUGUGGGCCUCUGUCUUCUGGGAAUAAAGCAGGAUUUCCUAUUUCAGGGGAUGUAGAGAGAUGCCCAGGUUGCACAGGAGUGGGAUAGGGUGUGGUAGCAAAAGGAGGGAGAGGAGUCCUUUUUGUGCCAAAUCCCUAAGUGCCGUUUGGGGGCCAUGUGUGCAGCAUGACUCUCCCUGUCUGUGGCAGGGACCCAAGCGCUUGCUUGAGCCCCAGUGCUCCAUGCCAGCACUUCAACUGUCUGGGGUUUGAUGGGCAGAGGCUCAGGAAUUUCCUGGCUUCCCCAGAUAGUGUCCUGGGACAUGGUAUGCUUUGGGGCUGGGGUAGCAUGGAAUCCCUCUGAGGACCUGGAUACUGGUACUACGGGGUGGGGAAGAGGAACCUUAAACUUGGCUUUCCCCAGUCUUCAGCCUGAGUCUAGCAUGUUUCUGGCUCCCCAGCCCCUUGUGAAGCCUUGAGGGCUAGCCGAAGGGUUAGGAGGUUGAACUCUAGAUUCCCUUCCUAUCUUUGCCUUCCUUUUACCCCUUUCCCUGCAACCUCCUUGACUCUGGCCUGAAUUUGUUGGUGCCUCAGUUUCUCUGUCUGUACCUAUUUAAGCCAAAGGCACUAGCCUGAAUUUUGCUUGAAGAUCACUUUGUCUUGGAAAUGACUAGAGAGGCAGAGGAGAAGGGUUUCCAGAGUUGCUAGGUUUGGGAGUGGAAGGGGCAGGCAGUGCGCUUGCCCCUCCUAUGCCUCUUCUGACACCAGCUCCCUGUGGAGGCCUGGUUUCUGGGUACUGCCUCCCUUGGGCAUCUUCAUGCAUCAACCAAAUGGGCCAUCAGGUACUUCAUUAGUCAUGGCAGAAGGAGGGGAAAAGACUUGUUUUUCCAGACAGAAAAUCUACUCCCCUGUCCCCAGCCAUAUCCCUGGAUAGGAAGGGAUAGGAAGAGACUACUUGGUGCCAUGAGGUAGGGGUGAGGGGAUAAGUAGAUCAGAGUGGGAAGACCUCCGCCUUGGGUGGCUUGUCUCUGCUUCUUGCCAGGUGGGAGGGCCUGUCCACACCCUGGCUCCCCGUACCACAGUGCCAGCCAUGCCCUUCCCCUGGGCUACCAUUGUCCCUUUCCUCACCCAGUUGGUAGAGGAGUCAGGAGGUGGGAAGCCAUGGGCUUUGGUUUUAUAAUGUAACCACUGUGGGGUGGGGGAGGAUGGUGAACCAUGUAUUUCAGUGAAAUAUUUAAUAUAUUUAAAUAUCAAUAAAAUCAAACUCUUUGUAAAA